GCUUGCUCUUCUGGAUGAGUUGCGAACGGGUGAGUAGCGCGUAGGUAACCUGCCUGGUAGCGGGGGAUAACUAUUGGAAACGAUAGCUAAUACCGCAUAACAGUAGAUGUUGCAUGACAUUUGCUUAAAAGGUGCAAUUGCAUCACUACCAGAUGGACCUGCGUUGUAUUAGCUAGUUGGUGGGGUAACGGCUCACCAAGGCGACGAUACAUAGCCGACCUGAGAGGGUGAUCGGCCACACUGGGACUGAGACACGGCCCAGACUCCUACGGGAGGCAGCAGUAGGGAAUCUUCGGCAAUGGACGGAAGUCUGACCGAGCAACGCCGCGUGAGUGAAGAAGGUUUUCGGAUCGUAAAGCUCUGUUGUAAGAGAAGAACGAGUGUGAGAGUGGAAAGUUCACACUGUGACGGUAUCUUACCAGAAAGGGACGGCUAACUACGUGCCAGCAGCCGCGGUAAUACGUAGGUCCCGAGCGUUGUCCGGAUUUAUUGGGCGUAAAGCGAGCGCAGGCGGUUAGAUAAGUCUGAAGUUAAAGGCUGUGGCUUAACCAUAGUACGCUUUGGAAACUGUUUAACUUGAGUGCAAGAGGGGAGAGUGGAAUUCCAUGUGUAGCGGUGAAAUGCGUAGAUAUAUGGAGGAACAC
rnacentral:rRNA from 1 species